rnacentral:rRNA from 1 species
AUUGAACGCUGGCGGCAGGCCUAACACAUGCAAGUCGAACGAGUGGCGGACGGGUGAGUAAUGUCUGUGAAACUGCCUGAUGGAGGGGGAUAACUACUGGAAACGGUAGCUAAUACCGCAUACCAUCGGAUGUGCCCAGAUGGGAUUAGCUAGUAGGUGGGGUAAAGGCUCACCUAGGCGACGCUCCCUAGCUGGUCUGAGAGGAUGACCAGCCACACUGGAACGGAGGCACGGUCCAGACUCCUAUGGAAGGCAGCAGUGGGGAAUAUUGCACAAGGGGAGCAAGCCUGAUGCAGCCAUGCCGGGUGUAUGAAGAAGGCCUUCGGGUUGUAAAGUACUUUCAGCGGUGAGGCGUUACCCGCAGAAGGAGCACCGGCUAACUCCGUGCCAGCAGCCGCGGUAAUUC